rnacentral:rRNA from 1 species
CGGCGGACGGGUGAGUAACGCGUGGGUAACCUGCCUCAUACAGGGGGAUAACAGUUAGAAAUGACUGCCAAUACCGCAUAAGACCACGGUACCGCAUGGUACAGUGGUAAAAACUCCGGUGGUAUGAGAUGGACCCGCGUCUGAUUAGGUAGUUGGUGGGGUAACGGCCUACCGAGCCGACGAUCAGUAGCCGACCUGAGAGGGUGACCGGCCACAUUGGGACUGAGACACGGCCCAG